GGGCGCAAGCCUGAUCCAGCCAUGCCGCGUGAGUGAUGAAGGCCCUAGGGUUGUAAAGCUCUUUCACCGGUGAAGAUAAUGACAGUAGCCGGAGAAGAAGCCCCGGCUAACUCCGUGCCAGCAGCCGCGGUAAUACGGAGGGGGCUAGCGUUGUUCGGAAUUACUGGGCGUAAAGCGCACGUAGGCGGGUAUCCAAGUUGGGGGUGAAAUCCCGGGGCUCAACCCCGGAACUGCCUCCAAAACUGGGUACCUAGAGUCCGAGAGAGGUGAGUGGAAUUCCCAGUGUAGAGGUGAAAUUCGUAGAUAUUGGGAAGAACACCAGUGGCGAAGGCGGCUCACUGGCUCGGUACUGACGCUGAGGUGCGACAGCGUGGGGAGCAAACAGGAUUAGAUACCCUGGUAGUCCUCUUCUUAAACGAUGAGAGCUAGUUGUCGGGCAGCAUGCUGUUCGGUGACGCAGCUAACGCAUUAAGCUCUCCGCCUGGG
rnacentral:rRNA from 1 species